ACGGAAGGCAGCAGUGGGGAAUAUUGGGCAAUGGGCGCAAGCCUGACCCAGCAACGCCGCGUGAAGGAAGAAGGUUUUCGGAUUGUAAACUUCUGUCCUUGGUGACGAAGGAAGUGACGGUAGCCAAGGAGGAAGCCCCGGCUAACUACGUGCCAGCAGCCGCGGUAAUACGUAGGGGGCAAGCGUUAUCCGGAUUUACUGGGUGUAAAGGGAGCGUAGACGGUCUAGCAAGUCUGAUGUGAAAGGCAGGGGCUCAACUCCUGGACUGCAUUGGAAACUGUUAGUCUUGAGUGUCGGAGAGGCAAGCGGAAUUCCUAGUGUAGCGGUGAAAUGCGUAGAUAUUAGGAGGAACACCAGUGGCGAAGGCGGCUUACUGGACGAUAACUGACGUUGAGGCUCGAAAGCGUGGGGAGCAAACAGGAUUAGAUACCCUGGUA
rnacentral:rRNA from 1 species